UGACAGCUGCUGGGACGGUACUUACUGAGCACCUACAACCUGUGACGUUUGUGCUUCUGUGAAACUUCCAGUAACUCAGUGGAGUAUAAAGGAUGGUUACACCCCAUCAAUAAUUUUAAUUACCUGAAGAAACAAGCCAUGUGCACAUAAAGCAGUUUUAAUAAUGAAAAUUCACAUCGUACAGAAGUUGAUAGUUUGCAAAGGACAUCAGUCUCAUAGGAGCCUCGUAAAACUUCGGGAAGCUGUUAAAAUAAACAGAUACUAUCUUUGCAAGUUUUACACGACAGAUGAAAGGAUGGUCCUGAUUGCACUUCAAUGAAACACUUUGUAGCUUGGAACAUGACAGAUUGGUGAUGCUUGUCUGGCUCAAUAAACAAAGUAAAGAGACCACUUCUGAGAACUGCAUUUAGACCUGUAAUUACUGAAAACACAGAUAUGACAACUUUGCCAAUAUUUGAUUUCCAAAUUUGAGCAGAUAAUAUUAGCGUGUUUUAAUAGCUAUAAUGAGUGUAUUCUGGUAUGCUGAUAAAAAUAGAGGGAACAGGGCUUGAAAUCAAGACAGGAUUGAGAUAUGCAUUAAAAAUAACUGAGACAAUUAAAUGAGAAAGGUACACAGAAUCCUGGUGCAGUGACUAUCUCAUUAUUGUUAUGACAUUAAUUUGAUUAUGACACCCCAAGCAGACGAUCUUAAUCUUCCUAAUGCAAAUAAAGAGGAAAAAUUCCAAUUCA